rnacentral:rRNA from 1 species
GUAGGGAAUAUUGGACAAUGGGCGAAAGCCUGAUCCAGCCAAGCCGCGUGAUAGAUGAAGGCCCUCUGGGUUGUAAAUAUCUUUUAUCUGGGAAGAAACUCCUCUAUUCUUAGAGGCCUGACGGUACCAGAGGAAUAAGCACCGGCUAACUCCGUGCCAGCAGCCGCGGUAAUACGGAGGGUGCAAGCGUUAUCCGGAUUCACUGGGUUUAAAGGGUGCGUAGGCGGGUUGAUAAGUCAGUGGUGAAAGCUCCGGGCUUAACUUGGAAACUGCCAUUGAUACUGUCAGUCUUGAAUGUCGUAGAGGUAAGCGGAAUGUUGCAUGUAGCGGUGAAAUGCUUAGAUAUGUUACAGAACACCAAUUGCGAAGGCAGCUUACUAUGCGAUAAUUGACGCUGAGGCACGAAAGCGUGGGGAGCAAACAGGAUUAGAAACCCCGGUAGUCC